rnacentral:rRNA from 1 species
UACGAAGGGGGCUAGCGUUGCUCGGAAUCACUGGGCGUAAAGGGUGCGUAGGCGGGUUUUUAAGUCAGGGGUGAAAUCCUGGAGCUCAACUCCAGAACUGCCUUUGAUACUGAAGAUCUUGAGGCUGGAAGAGGUUAGUGGAAUUCCCAGUGUAGAGGUGAAAUUCGUAGAUAUUGGGAAGAACACCAGUGGCGAAGGCGGCUAACUGGUCCAGAUCUGACGCUGAGGAGCGAAAGCGUGGGGAGCGAACAGG